rnacentral:rRNA from 1 species
GACGAACACUAGCUACAGGCUUAACACAUGCAAGUCGAGGGGUAACAAGAGAAAAGCUUGCUUUUCUUGUUGACGACCGGCGCACGGGUGAGUAACGCGUAUCCAACCUGCCUAUAACUAGGGAAUAACCUUGCGAAAGUAAGACUAAUACCCUAUGAUUUCCUUUGAUGACAUCAGAUUAGGAAUAAAGAUUUAUCGGUUAUAGAUGGGGAUGCGUCUGAUUAGCUUGUUGGCGGGGUAACGGCCCACCAAGGCAACGAUCAGUAGGGGUUCUGAGAGGAAGGUCCCCCACAUUGGAACUGAGACACGGUCCAAACUCCUACGGGAGGCAGCAGUGAGGAAUAUUGGUCAAUGGGCGGAAGCCUGAACCAGCCAAGUAGCGUGCAGGAUGACGGCCCUAUGGGUUGUAAACUGCUUUUAUACAGGAAUAAAGUUAGCCACGUGUGGUUAUUUGUAGGUACUGUAUGAAUAAGGACCGGCUAACUCCGUGCCAGCCGCCGCGGUAA